rnacentral:rRNA from 1 species
UACGGAGGGGGCGAGCGUUGUUCGGAAUUACUGGGCGUAAAGCGCACGUAGGCGGCUUUGUGAGUUAGAGGUGAAAGCCCAGGGCUUAACCCUGGAAUUGCCUUUAAGACUGCAUCGCUAGAAUCGUGGAGAGGUGAGUGGAAUUCCGAGUGUAGAGGUGAAAUUCGUAGAUAUUCGGAAGAACACCCGUGGCGAAAGCGGCUCUCUGGAACGGUACUGACGCUGAGACGCGAAAGCGUGGGGAGCGAACAGG